rnacentral:rRNA from 1 species
GACGAACGCUGGCGGCAGGCCUAACACAUGCAAGUCGAGCGAGCGGCGGACGGGUUAGUAAUGUCUGGGAAACUGCCUGAUGGGGGGGGAUAACUACUGGAAACGGUAGCUACUACCGCAUACCAUCGGAUGUGCCCAGAUGGGAUUAGCUAGUAGGUGGGGUAACGGCUCACCUAGGCGACGAUCCCUCGCUGGUCUGAGAGGAUGACCAGCCACACUGGAACUGUGACACGGUCCAGACUCCUACGGGAGGCAGCAGUGGGGAAUAUUGCACAAUGGGCGCAAGCCGGAUGCAGCCAUGCCGCGUGUAUGAAGAAGGCCUUCGGGUUGUAAAGUACUUUCAGCGAGGAGGCGUUACUCGCAGAAUAAGCACCGGCUAACUACGUGCCAGCAGCCGCGGUAAUAC